ensembl:lncRNA
GCUGUUAAGGCAGCAUGCGAAUGGGAAGACGGACUAAAUAAUUGAUGUUGUGGCGCCUUGGUAUUCCGCCGAGCACUUUAGGGGCGAGCCACCUCCCACACGAAUCAGGAAGCUGUCAGGAGUAAUUGGAGGAAUCGCGACAGCGUCGAGUUAAGUGUUCGCCAGUCCUGAGGUGAAGAAUGUGACACUGUGCACUGCAGAACUCAAAAGCACAGAUUUUUUUUUCAUUUCUCUCCCUCUUCUUCAAUUUCUCUUGUGCACUUUACCUUAUUGUUCCAUUUUCUUUUCUAAGCAUAAAUCCCUUUCAGAGCCAGUUUUGCCUAAGAAUGCUACAAUUUGGCUGAUGUGGAAGUUGAGUUCAUGGCCAUCAGGGGAAUUCAUAGUCUCCAGGAGUCUUCGCUGUGAGCUUAACUCAUCCAACCCCCACAUCCACCAUCUCUACUUCAGAGAAGAUGACGUUUUCGGAGGACUCUGGUGGUCAUCGGGUCUGGUUGGGCCUAUGAGCAGACAGCUCAGCGCUCACCCAAAGCUCCUAUCUGUAGGCUGGAGGCCUUGUGGCCAGGUUGAGAAGAACAAGAGGAGGUGGCAGCUCAGAGACCACGGCUCAACAUGUCAGCAGAAGAAAAAUAGGUCUCCUGACAGGGGAUCCCCUCUCCCAUCUGGAGUACCUCCACCUCCUGCUGGAGCUGUUCCUGGUCCUCACUGCUCUAACCAGCUACCUGGCAGUGCUCUGUGUGUUCUACGAUACCAGUUUAAACAUCCCGUGCAGAGCACUGUCAUCCGAAGAUGGUCCUUGAGCGAAUUUUGCCACCUUUGUGGAGUGGACACGGAUCCCUGUUCACCGUCUGUCCCAAGGGGAUCUCACCAGUGCCACUCCGGACCCAGUGCCCAGCCCACCAUCUCCCCACUGCAUUUAGCGCAUGCUCAAGCACACUGCUGAUGGAGUGCUGGAGCCUGCCACGACCGAUGAGCCAUCACAGCACGGAGCUGAGGAUCGCCGUGGAGCCAGAGCUGCUGUUGACGUUAGUCAAGGUUUGUGAGCCAGCAACAAUGCCCGCCACAAGGAAGAAAGUUGUGGACAGUGUGAGCAUGGAGAGGAGCUCCAUGCCCUGCACUGUGGCUGAGGGUGAGCGGUGUAUGGCAUGGCGACUAUGCCACACCGGAGAGGGCUCCCGUUCCUAAGUUCUGGCCUGAAAGCCCGGAGGCUCACAAAUGCCCGCCCUCCCACUCACUCCUGCUUCCUCCUCCGCUGUCAUCUGGCAGCCCCUCUGCUCACCCUCAGCCCACCAUCUAUGCUGUGCGAGCUCUGCAGGACUGCCAUCCUGCGUCGCAGUGGUCGGAGUAUUCCUUGACUCCGCUCUUGGGCUCUGGGCUCCGCUUUGGCCCAUUGACUGUUUUGCCCCUGUUUCAGUGUUCCCUUAUUUGGUCAUUUCCCUGUUCUCGUUGUCUCAUUAUUAGUUGAUUCCCCGCACCUGUCGGUCCCUCAUUAAGAUUAGUAUAAAUAUGUAGUCUGCCUCAUGUUUCCUUGUCGGGUCUUGAACGUCAUCCUUGUGUUCAGUGUCUCCUGUUGGAUUAUUAAAGACUCAUUUUGUGAAAUCUCCAUGUUUC